rnacentral:rRNA from 1 species
GACGAACGCUGGCGGCGUGCCUAAUACAUGCAAGUAGAACGCUGAAGGAAGGAGCUUGCUCUUUCUGGAUGAGUUGCGAACGGGUGAGUAACGCGUAGGUAACCUGCCUGGUAGCGGGGGAUAACUAUUGGAAACGAUAGCUAAUACCGCAUAAAAUUGAUUAUUGCAUGAUAGUCAAUUAAAAGGUGCAACUGCACCACUACCAGAUGGACCUUCGUUGUAUUAGCUAGUUGGUGGGGUAACGGCUCACCGAGGCGUCGAUACAUAGCCGACCUGACAGGGUGGUCGGCCACACUGGGACUGAGACACGGCCCAGACGCCUACGGGAGGCAGCAGUAGGGAAUCUUCGGCAAUGGACGGAAGUCUGACCGAGCAACGCCGCGGGAGUGAAGAAGGUUUUCGGAUCGUAAAGCUCUGUUGUAAGAGAAGAACGAGUGUGAGAGUGGAAAGUUCACACUGUGACGGUAUCUUACCAGAAAGGGACGGCUAACUACGUG